GAUGAACGCUGGCGGCGUGCCUAAUACAUGCAAGUCGAGCGAACAGAUGAGAAGCUUGCUUCUCUGAUGUUAGCGGCGGACGGGUGAGUAACACGUGGGUAACCUACCUAUAAGACUGGGAUAACUCCGGGAAACCGGGGCUAAUACCGGAUAAUAUUUUGAACCGCAUGGUUCAAUAGUGAAAGACGGUUUCGGCUGUCACUUAUAGAUGGACCCGCGCCGUAUUAGCUAGUUGGUAAGGUAACGGCUUACCAAGGCGACGAUACGUAGCCGACCUGAGAGGGUGAUCGGCCAGACUGGAACUGAGACACGGGCCAGACUCCUACGGGAGGCAGCAGUAGGGAAUCUUCCGCAAUGGGCGAAAGCCUGACGGAGCAACGCCGCGUGAGUGAUGAAGGUCUUCGGAUUGUAAAACUCUGUUGUUAGGGAAGAACAAAUUUGUUAGUAACUGAACAAGUCUUGACGGUACCUAACCAGAAAGCCACGGCUAACUACGUGCCAGCAGCCGCCGUAA
rnacentral:rRNA from 1 species